rnacentral:rRNA from 1 species
ACGGCAGCGCGGGACAACCUGGCGGCGAGUGGCGAACGGGUGAGUAAUACAUCGGAACGUGCCCAGUGAUGGGGGAUAACAACGCGAAAGCGUUGCUAAUACCGCAUACGACCUACGGGUGAAAGUGGGGGACCGCAAGGCCUCACGUCAUUGGAGCGGCCGAUGGCGGAUUAGCUAGUUGGUGAGGUAAAGGCUUACCAAGGCAACGAUCCGUAGCUGGUCUGAGAGGACGACCAGCCACACUGGGACUGAGACACGGCCCAGACUCCUACGGGAGGCAGCAGUGGGGAAUCUUGGACAAUGGGGGCAACCCUGAUCCAGCAAUGCCGCGUGCGGGAAGAAGGCCUUCGGGUUGUAAACCGCUUUUGGCAGGGAAGAAAUUUCGGGCGCUAAUACCGCUCGGCGAUGACGGUACCUGCAGAAUAAGCACCGGCUAACUACGUGCCAGCAGCCGCGGUAAUACGUAGGGUGCAAGCAUUAAUCGGAAUUACUGGGCGUAAAGCGUGCGCAGGCGGUUGGGUAAGACAGAUGUGAAAUCCCCCGGGCUCAACCUGGGAAUUGCAUUUUGUGACUGCCCGGCUAGAGUGCGGCAGAGGGGGAGUGGAAUUCCGCGUGUAGCAGUGAAAUGCGUAGAUAUGCGGAGGAACACCGAUGGCGAAAGGCAACUCCCUGGGCCUGCACUGGCGCUCAUGCACCGAAAGCGUGGGGAGCAAACAGGAUUAGAUACCCCUGGUAGUCCACGCCCUAAACGAUGUCGACUAGUUUGUUGGACGGGAUACUGUUCAGUAACGUA